UUUUGAUUGUAAACAAAAAAUUUAGAUAUUUUAAAUUAAUGGAAUUAUGUAACAUCAAUUUCAUACUAUUGACAUCCCAUAUUACGUAUCAAAGCUAAUCUUAUACGUAUUAAAGUUCAAUAAUUUGUCCUUUAAAUAAAUUAGUACUUCAUGGAUGAAACUGUAAGUCCAAUUAAAGUAGAUCCGGAAUUUAAUUGGAUUUUUCGAAUCUGUUCAAAUGCCCUCAAUGUAUACAUAACGAUGUAUCAGAUUAUCAUUUACGACAAUGCAUUAGAGAUGCAAAUGGAUCAUAUACGUAAGUUGUUUAUUGAAUAUAGUUUAAGGAAAUCAUUGAUUUAUUUCAAUUCAAAUAAUUAAAAAAUAAAUCAUUUACUUUUUCAUUUUUUUCUUUCUUUUCUUUUUUUUUUUUUUUAGAAGCUUUUUCGUAUCCCGUUUUACUAGCUUUAUUGGACUUAUUGAUUUAUAUAGUAGUACAGUAAAGGAUUAUUUCUUGCAAAAUUAUUUUAAUGACUUAAAAAAACGGAUACAUGGUUUUCAUAAACUUAUUCUCUUUAUUAUAUUUGCAAUUUUAAUUAAUUAAUUUAUUUACCAUUAAAUCUACUUGCAAUCGUAAAAUUAGAAUUCUAUAUUCUAAUUGUAAUGACGACCACCAUCGUAAGGCAAGUAUCUGUUCCCAAAUCUAUUAUUAUUGAAAUUAAUAUUGUAAUAACGAUUACGAUAGGCCUUAUCGUAAUACUCUUCAUUCGGAUAAUAGAUCCUUCGAUUAUGAUAAUUUGGAAUAUAACUGCGGUGAAAGAAUGAAAAUGAAAAAAAAAUUUCAACAAGUUGAAAUAAUAUUGAACGUGCAUAAAAAUCAAAAAAUAAGAAUUACCGAUGAUCUCUUAAAUAUUCGAGAAGAUAUGGAUCCACGGAGUAGCGUCUAGGCUGUGUAUCAACAUGAUAAUUCUGAUAAAAAUGAGAAGACGCAUAUCCAUCAUCGUAUGCGUAUGGAUAAUAUUGAUAACCGUAAUCUCGAAAAUGAUCACGGUCUCUAUCGUAAUAUCUUCCUACGUCAUCGUGCAGAUAUUUUCGUUCAUCGUCGUAUCGCUGAUUAUUUUGAAACUGAUCAUAAUGUGCACGGGAAUCAACGUAUCUAAGAGAAAAAGUAAAUCCCUCUUAAUGAUCGGUCUCAUAUGAAAAUUUCAGUAAUUUAAAAGAAAAAGAAAAAGAAAAAAAAAGAGAAAAGAAAAAAAUAAAACAAAACAAAAAAAAAAAAA